rnacentral:lncRNA from 1 species
UUGGCCCCAUAAAAGAUCCAAAUUAUCAACCUACAAUGCUUUUAAGCAAGGAAAAACAACUUUGAAUUAUGCUUUAUGCAUGUCAGUUUUUCCUAAGAAAAUCAUGUUCUGAUAGUCGAAACCCAAUAAAAUUAAAAUUUCUAACCGAUGAAAUAUAUAGUUAUAAAAUGUAUUUUAAGAGACAAAAAAAUUACCGUAAAUGCAGAAAAUUCGAUUGUUAUUAAAAUAUUCUGAG